rnacentral:rRNA from 1 species
GACGAACGCUGGCGGCGUGCUUAACACAUGCAAGUCGAACGGAAAGGCCCCUUUGGGGGUACUCGAGUGGCGAACGGGUGCGUAACACGUGAGUAACCUGCCCUUGACUUCGGGAUAACUUCAGGAAACUGGGGCUAAUACCGGAUAGGAAUCCUUGCUGCAUGGUGGGGGUUGGAAAGCUUCGGCGGUUUUGGAUGGACUCGCGGCUUAUCAGCUUGUUGGUGGGGUAGUGGCUUACCAAGGCUUUGACGGGUAGCCGGCCUGAGAGGGCGACCGGCCACAUUGGGACUGAGAUACGGCCCAGACGCCGACAGGAGGCAGCAGGGGGGAAUAUUACACAAGGGGCGGAAGCCGGAUGCAGCAACGCCGCGUGCGGGAGGACGGCCUUCGGGUUGUAAACCGCUUUCAGCAGGGGCGAAGCUUGUGGUGACGGUACCUGCAGAAGAAGCACCGGCUAACUACGUG